rnacentral:rRNA from 1 species
GUGCCAGCCGCCGCGGUAAUACGGAGGGUGCAAGCGUUAAUCGGAAUUACUGGGCGUAAAACGCACGCAGGCGGUCUGUCAAGUCGGAUGUGAAAUCCCCGGGCUCAACCUGGGAACUGCAUUCGAAACUGGCAGGCUAGAGUCUUGUAGAGGGGGGUAGAAUUCCAGGUGUAGCGGUGAAAUGCGUAGAGAUCUGGAGGAAUACCGGUGGCGAAGGCGGCCCCCUGGACAAAGACUGACGCUCAGGUGCGAAAGCGUGGGGAGCAAACAGGAUUAGAUACCCUGGUAGUCCACGCCGUAAACGAUGUCGACUUGGAGGUUGUGCCCUUGAGGCGUGGCUUCCGGAGCUAACGCGUUAAGUCGACCGCCUGGGGAGUACGGCCGCAAGGUUAAAACUCAAAUGAAUUGACGGGGGCCCGCACAAGCGGUGGAGCAUGUGGUUUAAUUCGAUGCAACGCGAAGAACCUUACCUACUCUUGACAUCCAGAGAACUUAGCAGAGAUGCUUUGGUGCCUUCGGGAACUCUGAGACAGGUGCUGCAUGGCUGUCGUCAGCUCGUGUUGUGAAAUGUUGGGUUAAGUCCCGCAACGAGCGCAACCCUUAUCCUUUGUUGCCAGCGGUUCGGCCGGGAACUCAAAGGAGACUGCCAGUGAUA